GAUGAACGCUGGCGGCGUGCUUAACACAUGCAAGUCGAGCGAAGCACUCUGCUUUGAUUCUUUCGGGAUGAAGAGCAUUGUGACUGAGCGGCGGACGGGUGAGUAACGCGUGGGUAACCUGCCUCAUACAGGGGGAUAACAGUUAGAAAUGGCUGCUAAUACCGCAUAAGACCACAGCACCGCAUGGUGCAGGGGUAAAAACUCCGGUGGUAUGAGAUGGACCCGCGUCUGAUUAGCUAGUUGGUGGGGUAACGGCCUACCAAGGCGACGAUCAGUAGCCGACCUGAGAGGGUGACCGGCCACAUUGGGACUGAGACACGGCCCAAACUCCUACGGGAGGCAGCAGUGGGGAAUAUUGCACAAUGGGGGAAACCCUGAUGCAGCGACGCCGCGUGAGCGAAGAAGUAUUUCGGUAUGUAAAGCUCUAUCAGCAGGGAAGAAAAUGACGGUAC
rnacentral:rRNA from 1 species